AGUGCUCGGCGGGCAGACGAGUCUGUUCCCAGGCUCCGGAGAUGUGCUGUGAUCGCGACCGAAGGAAAAGUUUUGCAUGCUUACGUCGUGAAAAUAUAUCACGACAUUCAUGAACCAGGUGAGCAUAGACGAAGAUGGCCACCCCACAGGACUACAGGAGAUGGCCUAAUGUUUGGAAUGGUUAGAGACCGGAAAAAUUCGCAGAUUCGUUAGGCGAUAGGCUAGAAUUCAAAUACAUAUACCUCUUAGAUGAUUUUGCUAUUGGCUUACUGUUCAACUGGACGCAUCUCAACCAAUUAUAAACCCUCAACAAAAGAAGGAUCGAAUUACAGAAAAAACCAACUGAGACGACUUACAAGUCGGCAGCCAAUGAACUUGCGUUAUUUGCCCGAGUACACAGGGGAAUGUGCUGUCUAUCCUGAAGGCCAUCGAAACCGCGAAUUUUUCCGGUCUCUAGGAAUGGUGGAUGGAGACCAAAUCUGCCAUCCAGCUCCAGCGAAAUUUCCGGACGCACUACAGACGCACAUCACGUCCGACCAUCCGGCAGUGCUACACGAGGUUCAAGGAAACCGGAGGUGUCACGAAAAGACAGAGUUCUGGACGCUCCGGGCACGAGUGAAGCACACGUGGAACGGGUGCGACAGGCGUUCAUCCGGUCCCCAACCGAAUCAAAAUCCGUCAAGCGUUUCGACAGUUGCAGCUACCAACGACCGAGGUGCACAGUGUGUUACACAAGCAGCUAAAGCUUCAUGCCCAUAAGUUGCAGCUUUUGCAUGCGCUUAAACCUUAUGACAGGCCGAAGAACAAAUAUUUUGAAAAUUUACAUUCCGAAUCGCACCGACGAGGACCCAGGCUUCCAGACAAAAGUGAUUGUUUUCGGACGAAGCGUACUUUCACGUGUCCGGGAUGGCAAAAACCGACACAAUGUGCUGAUGUGGCGCCCGGAGAACCCCAGCAUAAGCCGGGAUAUUGUGCGCGACAGUCCAAAGGUAAAACGUGCGGUGUGGUCUACUUUAUGACCGCGUGUGUGAGGGCCGUUUUUCUCUGCAGAAGCUGCAAUCACCGCGACUGUUUAUCUGGACAUGUUGGAACUGUUUGUGCGUUUCCACGGGUCGAACACGGGGACGUACCACAACGCCGAAAUACCACAACGCCGAACGUACAAUAACGCCGAAAACCAUAACGCCGAAUGCCAAAUUGACUACAACGCCGACAGCUAGAAAACUGCUGUGUACCACAACGCCGAAAUACAUUAACGCCGAAAAAUGUCAUUGCAGGAUUGCCACAAAGGUUAGGUUAGGUAAGGUUAGCACACAAAUUCAUUCAGUUGUUUUUCAUUUUGCUCCUGUACCCCCCCCCUCCCCACAGCAACAUUUUUCGGCGUUACUGUAUUUCGGCGUUGUGGUACACAUCAGUUUUCUAGCUGUCGGCGUUGCGGUCAGUUUGGCAUUUGCGUUAUGGUAUUCGGCGUUAUUGUACGUUCGGCGUUGUGGUAUUUCGGCGUUGUGGUAACGACCCGUCGAACACCUGCAACCUGACGUCCUGACCCUCACUGGGCUGUGAUCGUUAGGAGGGCUUUGGACGACACGUCUCCAGGUCGCUGGAUUGGUCGAGGAGGAUCCAUUGCCUGGCCCCCGAAUUCUCCGGACAUAUCCCCACUGGACCACAUGUCCGGACAUAUCCCCACUGGACCACAUGUCCGGACAUAUCACCACUGGACCACUUGUCCGGACAUAUCCCCACUAGACCACUUGUCCGGACAUAUCCCCACUGGACCAUCACCCAGGUGCGAGAGCUGCAGGAACUACGAGCUCGCAUCGGCGCAUCACUUGAACACGUCACGGACAUACUGGGCAGGACGUGGGCAGAACUGGAAUAUCGCUUAGAUAUCCUGCGUGAUAAAAAAAAUGGCAUGCACAUUGAACUCUGUUAGACGGCUACUAAAACUUAAGGUGUGUGUGUGUGAACAUUAUGCCCCAAACUGCAACUUUCUGUCCAUCCCCAUUUCUUACUAAUACGCGAUCAAAGUUGGAAAUAUUAUUUUGGAACAGCCUGUGCUGACGUUAUACUUCUUAAGGGAAGGGGGGGGGGGGAAUUGUCAAAAUGGUUCUAACAAUAAAAAAUAAUUGAUUGUAUUCUUUAGUUAGAUAACAAAUUUGAUACGGAGCUGGCAGUUAGGGGAGAUCAAGAUACAUUUGAAUCAAUCGGCCGCCGCUAUGGAGACUGUGCUUUUCGCCUUCUCCUGGUUUGACAGCCUCCCCUCCUUACCCCGUAGAGAAUCCUUACCCCUCCACUCAUGCACACAUGGAGGAAAGGUGACAUUUUUGGACCGUUACCUGGUGUAGCCUUUCUGCUAGUAGCUUUCGUCGAAGGAACAUGUAUUAGGACCAGAGAUUUAGGUUUAAACCACUCUGGUUCCUUCUUUUCUUGGCGGCGCAUUACAAGUGCAUGUUAUUGCGUUAAUUUAACUGUAGCGGGUUUCAACGUUGUUUAGAUCAACUUUGGGAAAUUUACUUGCAAGUUAAAGUAAGUUUGGAAUUAGCUGCUUAUCGUUUUUGAUGAUUUGCUAAGUGGACAUAAUGCUAGUUAAGGCUGCUUACCAUUUUAGGGAAUGUGGUUAGGAUUUCACUUGUUAUUUUAACACGUCGGGAUUUGGGAUGUUAACGAAGUUUGUUCUCUAAGAUAUGGGUGUAAUACGUAGCUUGUUAAAAGCGUGCGCUGAUAGGGAUGUUUGCUUCAGAAGCAUUAAUUGUCAUGGCUUAAUCUUUGACAAUGCUACAAGGACUCACGUUUGUAUUUUUAGUUGACUAGUGUUACGAUUGAUUUGGAUACCACUGUUCUAUCUUGUGGCGUUUCCGCGCACAAGUCUGUUGAGGUGUGUAGAUGGUACACCAGGCAAUUUGUCUUACUAUGUCGUGAUUAUAACCUCUUGCCUUUUUUUAAUGCAGUGGCAUAAUGUAUGGAUGAUAGUUGUGUGUUUUCAUAAAGGAUACCUAUAUGUUAUUAUAUUAAGAACCUGAUCGGCUGCUAGGGCUAGUUAUUCGUUACCUGACCUUUUUAGAUGUACGUGACAAAAACUGUAGAGUAUAAAAGCGACGUAGCUGAGUUCCGCGAGUCUCUAUGAGCUCUCAAACUGCGAGUAACGUGUACUCUCAUAUUAUUUGGCGAUAUCAAUAUAUGUUUUCAUGCGUGAUUUGGUACGCUUUAUUAGCGAUGUCUUCAGUUAAAUUGUUGGAAUUUAAGGCUUUGUUAAUUGAAAUUGAAUCGUAAGCGACGUAUUUUCUGUUGGGCUUAUAGCGUUGUGGCUCAGUAUUACGGUCAUUGCUUAGUUAUGUGUGCAUUUGAAUACAGCAUUUUAAGUCCUGCUUUAAUUUAUUGAUGACAGCUAACAUCAAUAGCGUACUUCUUUAACUCAACAUAAUGCAUUAACAAUGUAGCCACUUAUCAACGUAGAAACGUUUUUAUGUAAUCUCUUAUUCCGUGAAAUAUGCAUACCGUAAUUCGUUAACGUUUUAUCAAAUUAUUAGAUGUUUCCACCAGGUUUUUAGGAACUGCCUGUGAUAAUAUUUGCACCUGAAUUAUUUUGUGCUGAAAUAAGUUGUGGAAUUAAAUGAACAAGGUUAAA